CAACUGAUGUUUCUUUUCAAAUUUAACCCAUUGGAAUUAACAAUUAUUCAAAGUGUGUAAACAUUUUUGGGACACCGUGGCAUAUGAAUAUUUUU